GAAAACCGUGAGCUACAGUUACAGACUUGUAAUGACACCUGUGGAAAUGAUCUCAUGGUUAAAGAACAUCCUAGGGACUGUGUUGUU
rfam:Hordeum vulgare subsp. vulgare, WGS project CAJW01000000 data, contig: morex_contig_1563021